ACGAACGCUGGCGGCGUGCCUUACACAUGCAAGUCGAACGGUAGAGGGGCAACCCUUGAGAGUGGCGAACGGGUGAGUAAUAUAUCGGAACGUGCCCAGUCGUGGGGGAUAACGCAGCGAAAGCUGCGCUAAUACCGCAUACGAUCUAUGGAUGAAAGCGGGGGAUCGCAAGACCUCGCGCGAUUGGAGCGGCCGAUAUCAGAUUAGGUAGUUGGUGGGGUAAA
rnacentral:rRNA from 1 species